UGCAAAAUUUCACAAGUGUUCGGUUGAUUUACUGAUUGGUGUCGUUUAAUAAUUAAAAAGUCGCGUUAAAUAAUAAAUAAAAUUAAAAUAUUUUUGCAUAAAUGUGUAAUUUAAAUGUUUGUUAAUAAUUGUGUGUAAAAAUUUUGGUGAAAAGUGUUGAGUAAAUUAGUGAAAAAAGUGUUAGAACUUUGAAUAAAAUUGCAUGCAAAUUCGAGUCGUUCGCUGUGUUGCUUUAGUUUGGUCAUUCGUUGGCGCAAACAAAAAAAAAAUGCAAAAGAAAAGAAAAAAGGAGUAAAUAGUAAAUUAAUAAAAAAAGAGUGUGUAUGAGAGUAAAGAAAUUCUGCGCUGUUGUUUUUAUUAAGUUUAUAAUUUGUAAUAAGAAUAAUGUAAUAGUGAUAAAAUCAAUCAAUAAUAUAAAUAGAGAUGCCACAUAUUUUAAAAUAAAGAAAUGGAAAAAAGCAUUAAAUUUAAAUCAAAUAUUGAAGAAAAAAAUAAAUUUUAUUUGGCAAAUUAAAAAUUCAAAAGGAAAAAAAAUUAAAUCUUAAAGAAAAUAGUAUUUUGAAGUCUGUAUAAUAAAAAGGGCCAUAAAAGUGAUCCAUUUAAAUUUAUUAAAAAUAUCAUUAAAUAUCAAAAUAUACCGAAAAUGUGAAAAUACAUAUUUUCAUUAGAUUUUAUAACAAACAUCAAAUUUCCACAAAGACCUAUUGCUGCCAACAGUUUUUCUUCAUUUUCGUUUGAAACACACCUGGAGAUGAUGAGAAUUUUUCUAUUCGUAUGCAAAUAUAAUUAAAAAAUGAAAACUAACAAAGGAAAAUAAAUAACAAAAUACCAUAAAAAGGGAGGGAAGGUCAUUUCAACACAUAUCAAAUGAAGAGAAGAUACUCUACAAAGUAAAAGCUUGGUUUAUAAUUUUGCUAUUCAUUCUCAUACCUAUCCUUGGUAUCAUUCGAAAACUAUAUGCGCCCUGAAUGAUUUUUACUACAAUAGAUGAUUCGGUCUGUCCUAAGAAGACUGUUAACUAGAUGGGAAGAUAUCAGAAACUGCUACUGUAACAAUUUAAGGAUAAAUUUAUACAUAUAUUAACAUUAUUUCUGUUAAAUAACAAAAAUAAUUAAUUGUUUGCAAAUUUUUACAAAAAUAUUUGAAAUUUUUACAUAUAAUAGCAAUUUUGUAUGAUUGAAUUCAAUUUGAUAAUUAAGAUAUAUUAAUAUGUAUUAUAUUAUUAAUCUUAUUUAUUUAUCACUUAUCUUUUAUGUAGAAUCAACACAAUAAAAUGUACAUAUGUAUGCAAAUUACCAGGCGCUUAGGAGAGUGUAUUAUAAAUAGCAGUUACACGAUUUAUUUAUGUAUUUAUUUUACCAUUCCUUUUUAUUACUUAAUUAAUAUAGUUUACAUAAAGCAAAAACAAUUAAAAUAAAUAAAGAAAAUAAACAACAG